rnacentral:lncRNA from 1 species
CGGACCCCCGGGCAGCCCUGACCCGCUCACGUAACGCCCUCUGCUUAUGCAAUGCCUCCCAGCGCUGCUAGAAGGGACAUCCAACACUGCCGCAAUUACCCGGCCCUUCAUCAGCCGCAACCAGGCUAAUUGGAUGGAGAACCGCUGGUGGGCUGGGGAAGGAGCGGCCAUCCCCCCCCCCCCCACCACCACCCUAUGGGUGUCCCCGUGCAAUUAGCGCCCACCGAACCCUCAUUAGAGGUCGGUGCCACCCCACGGCCGUGCUGUGCCCCCGAGCAUCCCCACGGCGCGGGCGCCACCACCCCUCAUCCCCAUCCCUGCAGCGCGGCGAUGCCCGAAGUAGCUGCCCCCCGUGACGUCUCCCAGCGCCCGGGCAGCAAAGCUGGGCUGUGGCACCUGGCUGCAGAGCCCCGACGCAGCUCGUCACACGAGGGAUGCUGAGCCCCACCGCAGAACUGCAGCGCAGCACAUGGAGCCCCGGCGCAGCUCGUGACAUGAGGGAUGCAGAGCCCUGCAGCAGAGCCCCGACCCACCUCAUGACACGAGCGAUGCGACACCGAGCCCCGACGCAGCUCAUCACACGAGGGACACCACUCUCCCCCCACCUCCCCCCGCACGGCUUUGGGGUUUGGGCCCCCCCGGCCCCCCCUCUCCCCGCACCGCCCCAAUCGUCUGCAGCGCCGUAAUGAGGAGAUAAACAGGAAGGAGCGGGGAGCCCCGAUGGGACACAUGAAAGCAGAGCAGGGCGAUGCGUGGGGGCUUUUCUUCCCACUUCUUUCUGCUGAAUCCCACAUUUUUCCUCCUCCCCCCUCCCCUCUCCCGCUCCAUUAAUGAGGUUUUGCUGCAGAAGUCUCUGUCUCGGCCUUGAGUUAAUCUCCAGAUGCCUUCAAAGGGGUUCUGUUCCCGUUCUCUUCCUUCCCCCCCUCCCCGUAUCCAUCGCUUCGAGAUGCUGAGCUGCAGCCCAACCCCUCCAUCCCAUCCAUGCUGCAGCCCCUCCCCAUGGGGACAGCCAUAGGGACAGCCAUAGGGACAGCCAUAGGGACA